UCAUAGUCGCACGCAUAUUCAUUGAUAAUUCAUCAGUGGUCACCGGCAUAUUCGCAUUACAUCAAAGUCAUCGGUGUAGCGCAUUCAUUCAACAAACUUCGAGCGCCUACAGAACCUCAAGCAAAGUCCUAGAGGAUUAGCAGGGGCCCCCAGCAUACCAUCUUUUCCUCGGAACCUCAGUUCAUCAUCAUUAUCAGCCGGAAGACGUCAACUGCUGGACAAACGCCUCAUCCAAAGAUCUCCACGACUAUCAGACCUGCGCUACCCUCGUCAAAUGUAUUCCGGCGAUCUUCACCAGAUCGUCGGUCCAUCUUAUGGGAGUGCCUACCAUUACUGCGUCUUCCGAGGCAGUAAAUCUUAUGAAAACCACAACGGAGCAAGCCUUACCUCGAAUCUAAAAGCGGAAAUGGAGUGAAUAAGCGAAGCUAGUGAAUAAAUGGUAAGAAGGGGUAACCGCAACACCUGGAUAAUACUAGUUCGUCCUGACUCAGCGAUUCAAGGCCCGACCACAGACAAUUUAUCAUGCUCUCUGCUUAUAUUCUUUAUGUAUAAUAACUCAAUACUGUAAUUUAGCGGCCACAUACCUACAGAUAAUAAUAUGUAGUUA